AAAAUAUUCUCAUUUUUAAUACGGUAACUAUCCCAUCUAAAUCUCUUCCUCAAAAUUUUCUUUUUCUUUCUUCCCUCCCUGCUAACUGUUCGAAAGGCACUGCUUCACUGCACACAGCUGAAGAACAUCUCCAAUCUGCUCACAGUGCCUCCCCAAAAAUAUCCUGCACACAUUUAUAAUCAUAUUUCAUUUUUUUUUUGGGC
rnacentral:lncRNA from 1 species